CAAGCUGCCGGCUCCCUCUCUCCCUCUUGGCUUGAUUGUGAUUAAUGCAGGAGAGCUUUUCCCAGCCUGUACAGAGGGGGCAAAAGCAGGAAAACAAGCAAAGCCAUAGCAGCAGUACCACGACAAUAAAUAUAAAGAAAUAAAACGACAGUGGCUUACUCACGCGUUAGUGACUCCGCCCGGGACUUGGACCAGCCCAAAGGAGCUACCGGAGUGCGCACGGUGCUCCAGGUGUCUGGACCAGGCCCCAGAUCUCAGCCCUGUCUCAACCGUGUCAGAUGCACUCCUCUGAGGUUGACGAUGGAGUGAGUGAAUGCCAGAAGCUUCUCAUGAUCUCUUGGGCAUCUUGUCCUCUUCUGUGCCAUCUGUAGGCUUUUGAUGUCUGUGCUAAGGCCUGUACUCUUUAAUUAAUACUGAUUAAAGGGGAACCAUCCCCCUUUUACAAAAUGAAG